UACGUAGGGACCAAGCGUUGUUCGGAUUUACUGGGCGUAAAGGGCGCGUAGGCGGCGUGGUAAGUCAGUUGUGAAAUCUCUGAGCUUAACUCAGAACGGCCAAGUGAUACUGCUGUGCUAGAGUGCAGAAGGGGCAAUCGGAAUUCUUGGUGUAGCGGUGAAAUGCGUAGAUAUCAAGAGGAACACCUGAGGUGAAGACGGGUUGCUGGGCUGACACUGACGCUGAGGCGCGAAAGCCAGGGGAGCAAACGGG
rnacentral:rRNA from 1 species